AUUGGCAUUGUAUUACUAUAUUUUGCGUCUUCAAUAAUUAUAUGCCUUUAACCUUAAACCCAGAAGAUAUAUAGACUUGCAAUCACUUUAGUUAUCGCUAUCUGACAACUUCAGAUAACUGACAAACAUUCACGUGAUCAGGUGGUUAAAGAUAUUUAAACUAAUUGUGAAGUAUAUGUCAGUUUACGUAAAGCUAACGCGAUAGGAUAUGAUUAUGAAUUGUAUUCAUGGUAUAAGUUAAAUAUAUGUUUACGUGUUUUUGUGACAUUUCUCUUACGCUAAAUGGACUUUUAAGUUAAGUGAACCAAAGCAACCUGAUAGAAUGAGCAUUUUUACCACAAUCAUUCUUCUGUCAACAUGUGUUUUAACCCAAUCGGUCGAAGAUCGCGACAUUAUAAGAUAUCUAAAACAAAAUGGCCAUGAAGUUUCUGUUACGUUCGGCGGAACGGUCGCAACCUAUAACCAUCAAAUUUAUGAACCGAUCAGCGUAAUAGACGGCCAUGUAGGUUAUCCUGACCCUGACCGUAGUUAAUGCUAUGCUGCCUUGAUGCGACCAGCAUGGAUCAACAUCGACCUCAACGUGUCGUAUCCAUUCGAUCGGAUAGAAGUGUAUGGCAGUGCAGACAGGAUUCAUGUCGAAGAUCACGAAAACCUAGAAAUUACUGUUG